rnacentral:lncRNA from 1 species
UGGAAGUGGAGUGGAGUAGUGGAGUGUAUUAGGGGAGUGUAGUAUGGUGGAGUAGUGGAGUGUAUUAGUGUAUUAGUGGUGUGGAGUAGUGGAGUGUCUAGUGGAGUGUAGUGGUGGAGUGUAGUAGUGGGGAAGUGUAGUAGUGGAGUGUGGAAGUGGAGUGGAGUAGUGGAGUGUAUUAGGGGAGUGUAGUAGUGGAGUAGUGGUGUGGAGUAGUGGUGUGGAGUAGUGGAGUGUCUAGGGGAGUGUAGUAGUGGAGUGUCUGGUGGUGUGUAGUAGUGGAGUGUAGUAGUGGUGUGUCUAGUAUAGUGUAGUAGUGGUGUGUCUAGUAUAGUGUAGUGGUGGAGUGUAGUAGUGGUGUGUAGUAGUGGUGUGGAGUAGUGGUGCGUCUAGUAUAGUGUAGUAGUGGUGUGUCUAGUAUAGUGUAGUGGUGGAGUGUAGUAGUGGAGUGGAGUAGUGGAGUGGAGUGUAGUAGUGGAGUGGAGUAGUGGUGUGGAGUAGUGGUGUGUCUAGUAUAGUGUAGUAGUGGUGUGUCUAGUAUAGUGUAGUGGUGGAGUGUAGUAGUGGAGUGGAGUAGUGGAGUGGAGUAGUGGUGUGGAGUAGUGGUGUGUCUAGUAUAGUGUAGUAGUGGUGUGUCUAGUAUAGUGUAGUGGUGGAGUGUAGUAGUGGAGUGGAGUAGUGGUGUGGAGUAGUGGAGUGGAGUAGUGGUGUGGAGUAGUGGUGUGGAGUAGUGGUGUGUCUAGUAUAGUGUAGUAGUGGUGUGUCUAGUAUAGUGUAGUGGUGGAGUGGAGUAGUGGUGUGGAGUAGUGGUGUGUCUAGUAUAGUG